GGCCGCCUGGCGAAAUGGCAUCGCGUCUGACUACGACAGGGUUCUAACCUGUAAUAAGCUGGAAUCAGGAGAUUGCAGGUUCGACCCCUGCGGUGGUCA